CUUGUUGGAGUCUCUUGUUGCUGGCUUUGGCAAAGGAAGCAGAAAUGCAUGGACCACCUCUGUGGACAUAGUCAAGUGGCAAGGAAUUGCAGCUGCAAAGAACCGAAUUUUGCAAACAACCUAGGUGAGCUUGGAAGCAGGGUCUUUCCCACGGAGCCUCAGUGGAGACCACAGCCUGGGCUGACAUCUUGAUUGAAGCCUUGUGAGAUCCCCCCAAGCAGGGGACCCAGAGCUGUGAAGUCCAUUACGAAAGCCUACGUACCUGCGGCUAUUGAGGCCUUGAAAUGUGGCUGGUCUGAACUGAGAUGUGCUCAGUUCUCCAUAUGGAAUUAGAAUUGUGAUAAAUGCUAUGACAGAAGGAUAUGCAGUUAAAGCAUUUGUAAUAAAUGCUUUAAUAGAGGUAUACUCACAAUGCUAUGACAAGGAGAGAGAGGGAACACUCUGGGUCACAGUUGUGCUUGACCAAGCACAUCACUAAGCCUUCAGGGAUGGAUGCAGUAAAUCUCUAGCCAAAGGCCAUGUUGAUCAUUUCUCAAGCUCAGUCCGUCCAGACCUGUCGGGCAACACCCCUAGUCAGCGGCAUGCAAUCAGGCACUUGCAAGUUCAUCAGAUUCAGUAGAAAAUAUGCUACAAAAUGAUUCCUGGUGUUCACAUGUCCUCUUCACCAUGUGUUAGCUAUGUGGCGCUGGGCAAGUUUACCUUUCUUUGCAUCAGUUUUCUCAUCUAUAAAGUGAGUAUAACAGUAGCUUCUGCACAGAGAGUUGUUGGGAAAAGUCAAAGAAAUGGCUUAUUAAGGCUUAGUAUGGUGCCUGCCACAGCAAGGGCUUGAUGUAUUUUUGAUGGUUGUUUUUAAUUUUUAAAGUUUCUGUCCCUCAAAUAAUAAUGUUACAGAUGUAUAGAAUCAGGAAAGCUGGCAUGGAAUUUUGAGAGGCUAUCAGCAGUCAGCAUAUGUUAAGUGGAGGGACAAAAGGUGAUCUUUUUCAUCAGCUCUGCUUUAACACAAAUACAUAUAUCCCUAAAAACCAUGUUUUGCAGAAUUACAGUAAAAAUCACAAGACCUAUGGGGAAAAUGGAGUUAGGUGCACAGCAUUAAAAAAUUUCAUCAGGGCUGGGCAUGGUGGCUCACGCCUGUAAUCCC
rnacentral:lncRNA from 1 species